rnacentral:lncRNA from 1 species
UUUUUUUUUUUUUUAAGCCCACUGUCUUAUUUCAAAAAUUUUCUGCCAAUUUGGCCAAAAUUUACUAUACACCCAUGUUUUUUGCUAAAGGCAAAGUUUAGUUUACUUAUUGCGUUUCCUGGCAGCUGUGCAUGUGCCAUGGUGUAUGUGGAAGUAAGAGGACAGCUUUCAGUAGUUGGUUCUUUCCUGGGAAUUAAACUCAGGUCUUCAGGCUCUGCACUUGGAAAGGCAUUUACAUGCAAAAUAUCUGAAGUUUUAUACUGCUUAUACCUUUGUCUAAAGUUUGUUUCUUUUCUUUAUACAAGCAAACUAGAAAGGGCCGUGAAUAUGCGGUAUAUUUAACAGAAAAAAGAAAAAGGAGGCCAAGCUUUUGGAGCAGGGAGUGCUCCAUCGAGCAGCAGGAGGCGUUAGGUGAUUUUAUAGUUAAGUAUGGUCAGGAACGCCGACAAAGGUUUAAGCUAAAUUUACUUCUUAAAAGUUAUCAUGUUUUUUUUUAUUAAAUAACUAUAAUUUUAGGACUACAAACAAUACAUUUAAGGAGGUUGUUUAUAGUAUAUAUUUUAGGUGGUUCUGUAUCUGUUCUGUGUACUCCACUUGUUCUGUGUACUCCACUUCCUCCAACAGAAGAGGCAGAAGCUUCCUGGUAAUGAUGGCCCGUUGUCGGGAAUGACAGUGUGCUAUUAUUUUACUUUGAAAUGAAAAUGAUAGAACACUGAGUUAGAAGAAGGAAACACAAAUUAUAAUUCACAACAAAUAGAUAACUGACUUCAUGUGGAUCCAUAAUUACAAUAUCUCAUAACUUCUCCAGCUUCAGAAAAGGGUGCCAAGCAAUGAAGUCCACAGACACUAAGACUUGAAAAAGUUAUAUUAUUUCUGUUACAGUUUUGCCUAUAGAAAACUAUUUAUAAUUGAACAAAACUGAGAAUCUAUGUGCCAUAUGUGUAUUUAGUAGAUAAUUCAGGGAUCCUGGUUAUACUUGACCCAGUUUCAGGACCAUUCUUUUAGGCCUAUGAUUAUUUUAUUAUUUUGUUUCUAGAUCACAAUGACUAUCAUAUUUUUCCUUGAUGAACAUUUAGGAAACAUCAAAAAUGCACUGCUUUACUUAUUUUAGCUUUUCAUCUCUUGUUUUUUUUUUUGUGAUGAGUGCUAUUUAUUUUAAUACCUUUUACAAUGUGAAGUUUAUGAUUUCUGUUUCAUACAACCAGCUACAGAUCUACUUUAACUAUCAAGAAUUUUCUUUAGUGCAAGGAUAGGGCAUUUUCCAGGAGUAGGGAAAAUGACAAACGGACGAAGUUUAGGGAUAACGUGCCUUAGAGUAAGCAACAGAAUGCUCUAAUCAAUGAGAAGGAAUCAAAGGGACUCCAAGGAAAUGCCCAUCUGUUCUGAAUGAGCUCAGGUCUCUUGACUGGGUAGGUGAGCUUCCCAAGGGCUCAUAGUAUUCUGAAUGGGAUUGCAGUCACUGUUAUCUCUGAGGACUGCUGAGAGGGUGAUAUGUAAAUGUUGUUCCAUGUAGGAACUGCUAUUGGAUAACUCCAGCCAAGGCUUUAGAGUAAAUUAUUAAAGUGUGGCUUUCAAGAGUUAGGGUUUGUUUGUUUGUUUAUCUACUUAGAUGGGGUCAUAGUGAAUAGCCCUGUCUAAUCUGGGAACUCAGUCUGUAGAAUAGGAUGGCUUAACUCAUGAGAACCACCACCUGUGCCUCUUGACUGUUGGGAUUAAAGGCCUGUACCAUUAUACCCACACUAAGGUAUAUUAGUGAAGGCUGAAAUCCUUGGACUAGUUUUAUAUUCACUAAGAGAUAGCAUAUGCCCCUUGCUAUUUCAUUUAAACCUUUCUUUAUUAUACUACUUUAUUUGUACUGAUGUGCACCUCAAUACAUGCACUGAUGUCCGAGAGUCACUUACAGGAGCUGGCGCUUCUAUCUUGGAGGUCCAGGGAUUAACUUGAGCUUGGGAGGCUUGGCAGCAAACAUCUGUACAUGUUGCACUAUCUUGCCCAUUUCUAUCUCAAUUUCUCUUAAAAAAGGAUUUUAAAAUUGUAUGCAUAUACAAUUUAUGUAUAACUAUGCAUUGCAUUUGUUCCUGACUCCCAUAGAGGUGAGAAGAAGGCCUCCGAUGCUUUUGAACUAGAGUUACAGAUUGUCGUGGGUCACCAUUUAGAUGCUGAGAACUGAACCUAGGUCCUUGCAAGAGCAGCAAGUACUUUUAACUUCUGGGCCAUCUCACCAGCCCUCCUUUCAUUUUUUUGUCUGUGGAUACAAGCUUUAAAAACUAUUUUAGGCAUAGAAUACAUGAACUUUUACGACAAUGGCUGAUAAAGUUUGUCUUACUAUUAUGAAAGUAGCUUUAGGCUAUUUGCAGAAGUAAUUAGCAGUUUCAUAAUGAGUUGUAUGGGGAACAGUAUUUAGUAAUUGGAACUAGUACCAACUAAGGUGAUGUGGUGUGUGAAGUUCCAGCCUUGACACAUAUUGAAUAUACAUUUUAUGUGUGUGUGUGGGGGG